AUACGGAGGGUGCGAGCGUUGUUCGGAAUUAUUGGGCGUAAAGAGCAUGUAGGCGGUCUGUUAAGUCUGGUGUGAUAGCCCGGGGCUCAACCCCGGAAGUGCAUUGGAUACUGGCAGACUUGAGUAUGGGAGAGGAAAGCGGAAUUCCGAGUGUAGGAGUGAAAUCCGUAGAUAUUCGGAGGAACACCAGUGGCGAAGGCGGCUUUCUGGACCAAUACUGACGCUGAGAUGCGAAAGCGUGGGGAGCGAACAGGAUUAGAAACCCCGGUAGUCC
rnacentral:rRNA from 1 species